GAUGAAGAACGUAGCGAAAUGCGAUAAGUAGUGUGAAUUGCAGAAUUCAGUGAAUCAUCGAAUCUUUGAACGCACAUUGCGCCCUUUGGUAUUCCUUAGGGCAUGCCUGUUCGAGCGCCAUUUAAACCUUCAAGCUCAGCUUGGUGUUGGGUGACUGUCCGCUUCACCGCGGACUCGCCUCAAAAUUAUUGGCGGCCGGUACAUUGGCUUCGAGCGCAGCAGAAACGCGAACUCGGGCCCGUCGUAUUGGCUCCCAGAAGCUAUCUUCACAAUUUUGACCUCGGAUCAGGUAGGGAUACCCGCUGAACUUAAGCAUAUCAAUAAGCGGAGGA
rnacentral:misc_RNA from 1 species